CAACGCGAAGAACCUUACCAGGUCUUGACAUCCCACGAAUUCAUCUGAAAGGAUGGAGUGCCUUCGGGAGCGUGGAGACAGGUGGUGCAUGGUUGUCGUCAGCUCGUGUCGUGAGAUGUUGGGUUAAGUCCCGCAACGAGCGCAACCCUUGCUAUUAGUUGCUAACAGGUAGAGCUGAGCACUCUAAUGGGACUGCCGGUGACAAGCCGGAGGAAGGUGGGAUGACGUCAAAUCAUCAUGCCCUUUAUGACCUGGGCUACACACGUGCUACAAUGGAUGGUACAGAGAGCAGCGAGGCAGCGAUGUGGAGCGAAUCUCAAAAAGCCAUUCUCAGUUCGGAUUGGAGUCUGCAACUCGACUCCAUGAAGUCGGAAUCGCUAGUAAUCGCGAAUCAGCAUGUCGCGGUGAAUGCGUUCCCGGGCCUU
rnacentral:rRNA from 1 species